rnacentral:rRNA from 1 species
UACGGAGGGGGGCUAGCGUUGUUCGGAAUUACUGGGCGUAAAGCGCACGUAGGCGGCUUUGUAAGUUAGAGGUGAAAGCCCGGAGCUCAACUCCGGAACUGCCUUUAAGACUGCAUCGCUUGAACGUCGGAGAGGUAAGUGGAAUUCCGAGUGUAGAGGUGAAAUUCGUAGAUAUUCGGAAGAACACCAGUGGCGAAGGCGGCGACCUGGGUUGAUACUGACGCUGAGGCGCGAAAGCGUGGGGAGCAAACAGG